AGGAUGAACGCUGGCGGCGUGCCUAACACAUGCAAGUCGAGCGGUAAGGCCUCUUCGGAGGUACACGAGCGGCGGACGGCUGAGUAACGCGUAGGAAUCUACCCCAAACUGAGGGAUAAGCACCAGAAAUGGUGUCUAAUACCGCAUAUGCUCUUCGGAGUAAAGCUACGGCGGUUUGGGAGGAGCCUGCGUCCGAUUAGCUUGUUGGUAAGGUAAUGGCUUACCAAGGCGACGAUCGGUAGCUGGUCUGAGAGGAUGAUCAGCCAGACUGGGACUGAGAACGGCCCAGACUCCUACGGGAGGCAGCAGUGGGGAAUUUUCCACAAUGGGCGAAAGCCUGAUGGAGCAACGCCGCGUGCAGGAUGAAUGCCUUCGGGUUGUAAACUGCUUUUAUAUGUGAAGAUUAUGACGGUAGCAUAUGAAUAAGGAUCGGCUAACUCCGUGCCAGCAGCCGC
rnacentral:rRNA from 1 species